rnacentral:lncRNA from 7 species
GUCCUUCACAUAAACAAGCGGCUGCAAGAAUGAAAGUCUCCAACUGAGGAAAUGGCAAAUUAAGAGCCUGCUCAAAGAAACUUUGGCUGGGAUUUUGAGGAAGGACACCAGCAAGAGGAUAGCUUGAGUAGCAUAAAACUACAGCUAAAUUAGAGGCUAGUGAAGGCUGAUGUGUUGAAACACACAUUGCACUUUUCCAGCCAAAUUCAAUUCAUAUGAAUAUAUCUUUAUCUGCUUAGAUUUGGGCAAGCUACUUAUUCAUAUCAUCAACUUCAAAAAGGACAAAGGCCUCCUGUUGUGUUUGUUUUCAUUUUUCUGUUUAUUAAUGUUGUUUAAGUAUGUAUUUAUUUUUAAGAAAUCAACUCCCUAUAUAACACAUGACAAAACACAGGAGAAAAAAAAGAUUUAGCAACAAAAAAUGAGCACUGGAACUUUCAGCCCAGAGAAACAGUGACGAAUCCUUGGAGAUCUCCCCAAACUGCCUGGACACACACUUCUUGUCACCCACAAGAAACUUUUCUCCUAAUAGCUCCCCAUAGCAUAAAAUUGCCUAAAACUUUUUUUCUCUUUAACCUUCCUUCAUCUUUAUACAUGAUAGCAUUCUGUUUCAGAGCAAAUAAACUACAUUCUUUUCCCUGCCAUAAAUUUCUUUUAUUACCUGUAUUUGUUAACUCCCUUUUAGGGACUGAUGGCAGGAGAGUAACAAAACUGCACCAGGAGAUGGUCAGACUGGACAUUAGGAAAUAUUUCAGUACCAUAAGGGUGAUCAAACACUUGAAGAGAUUUCCUAGAGAAGCAGUUGAUGCCUCACGUCUGUCAGCAUUUAAGAGGCCCUGGAGUGCUCAGGAGUUGGGCUUUGUGAUCUUUAGCAAACAACAAAAGAAGACUACUGUGACCAUACCAACAAGGACAAUACCUGAAAUACUAGGUUUUGUAAGAAUAGUAAGUGCUUAAAGGAAACUUCUCAUAUUCAACAUCAUACAAUUAUCCACCAUCUUACAGAUUCACUGAAGCCUGAACCUAGGGGGAGGCAAAAUAACAACAACAAAAAAAUAAGUCUUUCAGAACUCAAAAUACAACUGGGAUUCACUGUCAAAUUUCCUGUCUUCCUGUAAAUGGGAAGAAUGGCUGGAAAGUUCUUGAUCACUAACUGGAAGCGAGAAGAAAAUGAUUCUAGACCUUUGGCUGCAAUGCUUACUUACUUGCAGGAAGAGGUUCACCUAUAAUGACUGAAGUUUACAUUAGGAGCAUCGUUAGACCACUAAGUAGUUCAUCAUGCUCAGCUUCAAGCUGCUGUUGAAAAAUAUAAUUUCUUUGCACCAGACAUUGCAUAUAUACAUUACAUAUGCACUACAGCUAUCCCUUUCCAUAUGUACAAAAUUUUCAACUACUUCAAAAGUAACUGAAAUUUACUUAUGUCUACUUGAGCUUGAGUUUACUAUUUAAACAAUUACUACAACCAAUUUUGGCAGUUUCUCACUUGAAGAUACUUCUGUGUAUUUUUCUGACAAUUUUUGGUUUGGUGAGUGUAUGCCUUGACAAAAGGGCUAUGUUGCUGUUGCAAAGCACAUUUUUUUUAUUUAUUUUGUCAAAGUCAAUAUAUUAGCACAUAUUUUGGUGUAAGAAAAUAAGCAUCCUGGAAUUCUUGAUCACUGUGAUUAAAAAUAACUCCUUUAAUAAACCAAUAAUUAUUUGAAUUACAUUGUUGCAUAAGCACAGUCCACAAGAAUUAACAGCCCAUUGCAUUUGACUGAAAUGAUCCACAUUCCUCAGUUUUAUCCCUGGAAUAUGAAUCUGUGCGCUAUCAUCACAGGCAGACCUUCCAACAUGUAUCCAUAUUUUUCUAUCUCAAUACCAGGUAAUAUUUGAGUCUAGCUUCAAUACUUGUCCCACAAGCUGUUUCUGAUUCCAGUCUGUUUCGUAGGCUGCACGCAUCUUUUCCAAUGAAAGCUAUUACACUAUCCUCAAUGGUGACUUUCCCACCCAUCCAUCCUUCACAUUUGACUCUCCUUCCUCAGAACAGACCUCGUGGAAAACACCACCUGUUCUUGUCUAAAGCUAAAUUAAAAAAAUUACUAUUUCUUUCUCCUGGAAGAUCUGUUCUAUCACUUGUAUUUUAAAAUGGAUUAUUAAUAUAUGUAAAGAGAAGUAGAGAAAGCACAUUUCAAAUAAAUAUUUGUUGUAUUAAUAAAGAACUCAAUGCUUGAAAAAGCAAACUGCUUGAUUAAAAACUUUCAAAGCUGUUAAUGGACAAUUACUUGAGAAUUACAGGGUUUACCAGCAGCAUAGCUAGUUACAGUGAGCAGGCUUUCUUUUGGAAUGAGGCACUACAGAAUAUCCUAUGGUUGGGAUUUUUUUUUUCCUGAUUUUACUUAGAAAAGACUUAUUUGCGUAACAGGCCUGACUAUCCAAUUGCCAUUUCACAAGAUCUGUCAUAAUUAUGUAACUUAAGCAGUUUGAGAAAUUCCAGCCAACCAAGGUCUACCGAUCAACUAACUCCAGCGCAUGUCAGUAUGUUGUAUCAGAAUGCUUUGUAUCAUUACAGUUUAGGUCUGAGUCACGAAUUUUCGUUACAGUGAAAUAAAUUCCAAGCUGUGAGUUUGAUGCCUGCAAUUCAGCAGGGGACAUUAAAAACAUUAAUGAACAAACAUAAUUGUCUCAAAACGAAACUUUUAAGAAUGCAGAACAAUUCUCCAUAAUAGUAAAACUAGGAAGACAGAACAGUUUAAAAUAAAAGUUUUCCCAAAGGCAGAGAAUACAACUGAAAGUAGAAAUUCUUCUAUUAGAAUAGUUAAUUUGGAGCAUAACUGGAUCCUGCAGAAGUAAAACUAAAGAGACGCUAAUGAGAGCAUAUAGUUAACUGAAGACAAAGCUAUGAAUAAAUCUCAAAAUGAACAUUUAGUACUAUUAAAUUCUAUGGAAUAUGAAUUAAAUACCCUAGUUGAAUAUAAGAGAGGUGCUGCGUUUUUCUGGGGCUUCUCAUAGUAGAAGUAUUUUGGCAAACUGAAUUACUGCU